CAUACCAUGCUGAAUAUACCGGUUCUCGUUAGAUCACUGAAGUCAAGCAUCAUUGGGCGCGGUCAGUACUUGGGUGGGUGACCACCUGGGAACACCGCGUGCCGUU
rnacentral:rRNA from 1 species